AUGGUGCAAUAGAAACACUAGUUCUCGUACGAUCACCAAAGUUAAGCAAUGUUGAGCCUGGCCAGUGCCUAGAUGGGUGACCGCUUAGUAAGCUUAGGUG